GGAAUUCAGAGGAUCAGCAGCAGUUGGAAUCUGCAAGGGAGAUCUUGGAUAUUGUUCCCCAAGUGAUCUUCCACAGUAAACAGUUGGUGAAUGACCUUGGUUCAGCACCUGCCACCACAGUUGUAGAACAAGAGACAGUGGGAAUACAAUCAGAGGGAAGGGCUCCACUUUGGAACCUGGGUACCAGAAUAGCUUUUUGGCUCUAAGCCAUGAUCCACACUAUCAAGUUCCCAGAAUGGAUGAGUGGCCUGCCCCUUUGCCAAGAACCUUAAUGGUUUCUGUGCAGCCAAAGCUGGCCUGAAAUAGAAGAACAAGAAUCCAGAAUUCAUGGAGGGGAGCAGUACGAGGGAUAUUAAGAGAGGAGAAGAAAAAAAGGAGCCAAUAAGAGCCAGAAAAACUGGCAGAGAGGCAAGAUCUACAGGUGAUGAGGGACUUCAAUGAGCAGGACAUCUGCUGGAAGUCUCUUGCAGAACAUCUGAUGAAUUCUUGCUUGGUCUGGCUGACAACUUCAUCCCUCAGUAGGUAGAAAAAAGAAUAAAGAGAAACUGCUAUUCACGAAUUAAUUGUGACCAGUAAAGAAGGCCUGGAUAAUGAUAUGUAUGUAAUAGAAAAGAGAGAAAAAUGAUUCUGGCAUUUUUAAUAACUACUAAUAAGUUACAGUGUUACAUAAUUAUUAUAUAACCCUUAUAAUAAUUAUAACACUUUUAUUAAUGAAAUAUGGCAAUCACCUCUAUUCCUUUUGAG
rnacentral:lncRNA from 1 species